UACAGAGGUCCCAAGCGUUGUUCGGAUUCACUGGGCGUAAAGGGUGCGUAGGCGGUCGGGUAAGUCUGAUGUGAAAUCUCGGAGCUCAACUCCGAAACUGCAUUGGAUACUAUUCGGCUUGAGGUCUGGAGGGGGGACUGGAAUUCUCGGUGUAGCAGUGAAAUGCGUAGAUAUCGGGAGGAACACCUGUGGCGAAAGCGGCUCACUGGACCACAACUGACGCUGAGGCGCGAAAGCUAGGGGAGCAAACAGG
rnacentral:rRNA from 1 species